UGGUCGAUCAAGAACAGGAGAGGGCGACCUCCCUCAUCCUCAAAACCCUAAAAUUCACUAAACCCACAAAUUGAAGGCUCAAUCCAAGUUGAAAUCAAAAUCUGAACAUGGAAUCGUGAUCACCUCGUCAAAAGGAGUCAUAAGUUUGACGCUAAACGAGCUAGGUGGAAGCUUGAGGACGAAGCGGGUCAAACAAAUCAAUAAGGAAAAGUAAGGCAUAGUUUGGAUGCGAGGAUAAAUCGACCUAUGAAUUAGCGAUGCUAUGAAUUAG
rnacentral:lncRNA from 1 species